CCUACGGGGGGCUGCAGUGGGGAAUAUUGGACAAUGGGGGGAACCCUGAUCCAGCCAUGCCGCGUGUGUGAAGAAGGCCCUCGGGUUGUAAAGCACUUUCAGUGAGGAAGAACGCCUGGUGGUUAAUACCCAUCAGGAAAGACAUCACUCACAGAAGAAGCACCGGCUAACUCCGUGCCAGCAGCCGCGGUAAUACGGAGGGUGCGAGCGUUAAUCGGAAUUACUGGGCGUAAAGCGCGCGUAGGUGGCUUGAUAAGCCGGUUGUGAAAGCCCCGGGCUCAACCUGGGAACGGCAUCCGGAACUGUCAAGCUAGAGUGCAGGAGAGGAAGGUAGAAUUCCCGGUGUAGCGGUGAAAUGCGUAGAGAUCGGGAGGAAUACCAGUGGCGAAGGCGGCCUUCUGGGCUGACACUGACACUGAGGUGCGAAAGCGUGGGUAGCAAACAGGAUUAGAUACCCGAGUAGUC
rnacentral:rRNA from 1 species